rnacentral:tRNA from 1 species
AGCGCCCGUGGCCUAAUGGAUAAGGCGUUUGACUUCUAAUCAAGCGAUUGUGGGUUCGAGUCCCACCGGGCGUGU